CAACGGAAGGGCUUGGUCUCCCGGAUACCCGGAUAGAAGCCAACUUUUGUGAUAAAGUUCCUUUCCGGACCCAUUUGGAAGGAUGCGAAAGAGCUGCAGAUGCCGUACCAGGAAGCGGUGCCAGUGAGAAGCAAGAUUCGGAUGCA